rnacentral:rRNA from 1 species
CCUACGGGUGGCAGCAGUGAGGAAUAUUGGUCAAUGGACGAGAGUCUGAACCAGCCAAGUAGCGUGAGGGAUGACUGCCCUCUGGGUUGUAAACUUCUUUUGUAAGGGAAUAAAGCGAGGCACGUGUGCCUUUUUGCAUGUACUUUAUGAAUAAGGAUCGGCUAACUCCGUGCCAGCAGCCGCGGUAAUACGGAGGGUCCGAGCGUUAUCCGGAUUUAUUGGGUUUAAAGGGAGCGUAGAUGGGUUGUUAAGUCAGUUGUGAAAGGUUGCGGCUCAACCGUAAAAUUGCCAUUGAUACUGGCAGUCUUGAGUAUAGUUGAGGUAGGUGGAAUUCGUGGUGUAGCGGUGAAAUGCGUAGAUAUCACGAAGAACCCCGAUUGCGAAGGCAGCUUACUAAACUGUGACUGACAUUGAUGCGCGAAAGUGUGGGUAUCAAACAGGAUUAGAUACCCCAGUAGUC